GGUUUUUCAAUAUAACAGCCCAAAUGGACAGAGACAUCCAUCUGUCUCCCAAGUAAACUUCCUUAAACCCAGGCCACCUACUCCAGCAAGUGGACAGAGGGAUAGGAUGAUGAAUGAAUCACACUGUCCACUCUGUCCUCUGUGCUACAAAGCGACUGCUGUGGGUGACUCAUCUCUAUAGCCACACCUGAUUGGACCAUUACCAGACAUCUGGCCAAUGACGGCCAGGCCAGGCACUUCCUCUGUGGCCUGGUGGUAAGAAAAGCCUGAGUUGGACCAAUCAGACCUUCUCUUCAGGGACUCUCACCAAGCAAGCUCAAGGGGAACAAGGACUUUCCAGGCCCACAUUGGCAGUGACAAUCAGAAUGUCAAAAUGUCUCCCAGGAUCCCUAGGAAGUCUGAGGCACUUCACGAUGAGCCUGCUCUGGGUGAGAGACCAACUGGAGUGAACUGUUAAUACACUUCACAGGAAGGGGG
rnacentral:lncRNA from 1 species